GAAGUCUGACGGAGCACGCCGCGUGAGUGAUGAAGGUUUUCGGAUCGUAAAGCUCUGUUGUUAGGGAAGAACAAGUGCCGUUCAAAUAGGGCGGCACCUUGACGGUACCUAACCAGAAAGCCACGGCUAACUACGUGCCAGCAGCCGCGGUAAUACGUAGGUGGCAAGCGUUGUCCGGAAUUAUUGGGCGUAAAGGGCUCGCAGGCGGUUUCUUAAGUCUGAUGUGAAAGCCCCCGGCUCAACCGGGGAGGGUCAUUGGAAACUGGGGAACUUGAGUGCAGAAGAGGAGAGUGGAAUUCCACGUGUAGCGGUGAAAUGCGUAGAGAUGUGGAGGAACACCAGUGGCGAAGGCGACUCUCUGGUCUGUAACUGACGCUGAGGAGCGAAAGCGUGGGGAGCGAACAGGAUUAGAUACCCUGGUAGUCCACGCCGUAAACGAUGAGUGCUAAGUGUUAGGGGGUUUCCGCCCCUUAGUGCUGCAGCUAACGCAUUAAGCACUCCGCCUGGGGAGUACGGUCGCAAGACUGAAACUCAAAGGAAUUGACGGGGGCCCGCACAAGCGGUGGAGCAUGUGGUUUAAUUCGAAGCAACGCGAAGAACCUUACCAGGUCUUGACAUCCUCUGACAAUCCUAGAGAUAGGACGUCCCCUUCGGGGGCAGAGUGACAGGUGGUGCAUGGUUGUCGUCAGCUCGUGUCGUGAGAUGUUGGGUUAAGUCCCGCAACGAGCGCAACCCUUGAUCUUAGUUGCCAGCAUUCAGUUGGGCACUCUAAGGUGACUGCCGGUGACAAACCGGAGGAAGGUGGGGAUGACGUCAAAUCAUCAUGCCCCUUAUGACCUGGGCUACACACGUGCUACAA
rnacentral:rRNA from 1 species